UACGGGGGGGGCAAGCGUUGUUCGGAAUUACUGGGCGUAAAGGGCUCGUAGGCGGCCAACUAAGUCGGACGUGAAAUCCCCAGGCUCAACCUGGGAACUGCGUCUGAUACUGGAUGGCUUGAAUCCGGGAGAGGGAUGCAGAAUUCCAGGUGUAGCGGUGAAAUGCGUAGAUAUCAGGAGGAACACCGGUGGCGAAGGCGCACAUCUGGCCCGAUACUGACGCUGAGGCGCGAAAGCUAGGGGAGCAAACGGG
rnacentral:rRNA from 1 species